rnacentral:lncRNA from 1 species
CUUGCCUCCUCGAUCCCAUCUCGACAUCCAUCCCGCCGCCACCUCCUGCCCCGCCCCACCGUGCGCCGCCCGCCGCCGCCGCGCCUGCGCCGACGUCCCCCGUAUCCAUGCUCCUCUGUCCGAAUCCCGCCGCCGCGCCCGUCCCGCUCACCGUGGCUGAUGAUCGUUUCCCUCCCCAAACGGCGGCCAUAAUGAAGGGCGUCGCCCAGCUCCUGACCGGCGGACGGACUCGCCGGGUCCCCGCUCCUCGGGGCCAGCCCCUCCUCCGUGGAUCGCGCAUCGGCUUGGAGGCCCCUCGGGGCUGCCGCCGGUGCGGGAGUUCCUGCGCGGCCGUGCGGGCUGGGGACCGAGCGGCGGGGCCCGUGUGCGUUCCCGGCGAAGGCUUGCUGGGGCUGGCCGGGAUCUGAGGUUGGUUGAUAUUUUCAUGUAAAGAUUGACACUCCUUCUUUUUCGUUUUUAUCUUCUUCCCAGUUCACGUGCAGGGACUAGAUUGCUGGCUAGAUCUUCCUAACUGAACCACUUGAUGUUAAACUCUGUACGUGUAUAGCUAGAUUGCCUGCUAGAUCUUGCUUUAUAAAUUAUUCAUUGCCUUCCAUACAAAGGUUCUGGUUUUGACUUUUGUUUCAGAUAUUAAUUUUUGUUCUAGCUCUUUUUUGUACAGACAAUGUGUGUGCUGUUUAAACGAUGAUUAUGACAUUGCGAGGCCUGGUACAGAUUGUAUUUAUAAUGUAUUUAUUUCCAGUUUUGGUUAAGAGUUGUUACUUGAUACAACGUGCUUUUCAAUUGCAGGUCCAUGAUGCAGUUCCACCUCUCUCCGUAGCACAAAACCUUUCUUGCCACACAUUAUGCAAGUCAUCCUCAUUGAUCAUACAUUUAUAAUUUCUUCACGGUUCAGUAUAUCACAUAUAUUAGGAUGUUAAAGCCACUCAUGGGUUGGAUGCUAUAGCAUAAGGAAAAUUGAUAGCCAGCCAUGAUCGUCCAUCCAUCAAUUUAGUUUGCUUUUUCUUCUGUUGUUAGUUUCUACUACUUUGCUAGCUAAGUGAUGUCUAUCUGAAGCUGUGAACCUUAUGAACCCUGAUCUGAAUCUUGGUGUUUGCGAAUUCUGAAUGAAGGGCAUGGAACCAGUCCUUCUAAAUGAAUUUGCUGAUGAGUGUGUUGCAUUGUUGAUUUCAUGGUUAUUCUUC